rnacentral:lncRNA from 1 species
CUUUCUUUCGUUCUUUCCUUGAAUCCAUUUUCUGAAAUCCAUUUCUCCAGUUCCUCUGAUUGCUUCCAUCCCCUUACAACCCAAAUGAACGGUUUAUUUGAUGCCUCUAACCCCAACCCAAGCUCUAUCAGUUGUUCCGAGAUGAGGUUACACAUACUUCCAAGGCAAGCAUAAACUACAGAACCUGGUGCCCAUGAGUCAAGCCACUUCAAGCAGUGAUGUUCAUCAAUUGAGGCCUUGUUACCCCUUUGUGCCUUGUCCAAGUCAUCUUUGUUGCAUAGUGAAGCAGGGCCAAUGCACCAGACUUUAUUCUUUCUUGCAUUCCUGUAUUCUUUAACAUAUUCUGGCUCCAAUUCCUCAAAAGUAUUCAUGAUCAUCCCAUAUGACUCCAUCUCAGCUGCUGCCACUUUCUCAGUAAAACCUUCCACUCUUGUUGUCAGUCUCCCAGAAACCUGAGCUUUCGUUAUCUCAAUUCGAUCAGGCAAGUCAGGUACAACAAGGUACUCUGAUUCGGAUGUUACAUUCUCAAGAACUUUGGAUACUCGCAAAUUGUGAAUGAACAAGAGACAGAAGCAGCAUGUUCCACUGAACGAUAUCCUUGGAAUGUGAAACUUGCUGGCAAUGCUGGCUGUCCAUGGAAGACACAUGUCUGAGAUUAUGCAGUUCGGCUUCGGGAUAAGCUCUUCAAACAGUUUCUCUACCGGCUGUUGAAGCAGGGCAGUUGCUGCAAAAAAAUUCAAGAUCAGGUCUUGUGAAGGUAGCAUGUCAGGGUUCUCGCAACCACCAGGCAAUCCUGCUUCUUCACUUGGAAAUUUCAGUUGGAUUAACCGGAUUUGGAGCCCGGAUUCUAUGGCUCGAGUAACGACUGCUUCAACACGUGCUGCAUUAUGUGGGGUGGUGACUAGGGUGACAAGGAUCCCUUGUUGUGCCAACAGUCUGCCAAUGUCUGUCAUUGGGAUCAAGUGGCCUGAGGCCGGAAAGGGCAACAAGAGAAAGUGAAGCUGGCUUUGUUGAUGAGAAGCCAUGGAAACUAAAUGGAAUUGAUAAACAACUAUAAAUGUUCUAUGAAUUAAGCAGAGGCUUAAGUCACUUGCUUAAUGAGUAGUGAUUUAUAUAUAGCAAACUGCUUUGCUGGUGACGUAAGAGCAUACGUAUAUAUGUGCAUUGAUUUAUCCAAGAAUAUUGUAGUGGUUGAGAGAGUAGAACAAAAUUCUGUUCUAUGGACAGUAUAAUGUUACAAAACUCUCAUUGUCUUCCCAUGUCAUUCUCUGUUUUCUAUAGCACUUUUGAAGCAUCUCCCAUUGCUAAAUAUGAGUGUGGGGUUUUAUACAAAAGGCCUUGAUGUUAUUAGGAAUGGAACCAUUUAUUAUAUGAGACUUUCUAUUUUGUUAAGUUUCCGAUGUGAGACUUGUGUAUUCUUCAAAACUCCUCCUCACGUGAGACCACUUUUUAGUGGACCACACGUGCAACCAAUUCCACAUCGAUCACUUUUUUUUUCUUUUUUUUCUUUUAUUUUUAAUUUGGGGUUUUUGUUUGAUUUGAGUUUGUUUGAUUUGGGUUUAAUCGGGUCCAGUCAACCGACCCACUCUGAUACCAUAUUAAGAUUUCAGAGGGACAGACCCUUGGCCCACCACUAGCAACAUCAAUAUUGCUCCCAACUUAACCACCUGUUUAGCAGGUGUGAGGUUUUAUACAAAAGGUCUCGAUGUUAUUAGGAGUGGAACCAUUUAUUUUAUGAGACUUUCUAUUUUGUUAAGUUUCCGAUGUGGGACUCGUGUAUUCUUCAACACCAAAUUGUGAAUCGAACUGACCAAGCGGGACCGUAAGCCAAACCAAUAAGAUUAGUUUAGGCCGGUUCAGUUUAUCAAGAUUCGCGAUUUCGGGUGGUCAUUUCGAUUUCUAUUUCACACCAAUUUUCUUAUUUUUUGUUUAAUUAUUGCUUUUACAAAAUUAAUAGGCUGAAACACACCUAUAUUUGGUUCUUCCAAAUCAACCUAAGUACUGUAAUGAGACAAAUAGUGAAAUAAAAAACUGCAUUAUAAUCAUUUCAAAAAUCUAUGCAGUAAGCAGUAUGCUUGAGAAAAGAUCCUUCACAUCCUUUUUAGUUUGUGUUUAUGCAAUUUAGUUCUUUGAUCUCUUGGAUUAGCUGUUUAAUGUUCAGGUAAGAAGAUCCACCUUCUGCUACUGCUCUCUUUGCCAUAUCUGCUAACUCUCUGGCUCUCUCUCUCCUUCCUUGGCUUUCUUUUCCAUCCAUCAAUUUCUCUAUGGCCUCCUUCACUUUCUUCUUUCUCAACACCCUCCUAAUCUUCUCCUCCUCUCCCCAAGUCACUGGAAAUUCCACACCAACUCUCACUGCAAUCUUUAGAAUCUGUUCAACAAAUUUCUCAUUCAUAAAUUGGUCCCCAAAAAGUGGCCAUGUGAGCAAAGGCACCCCAGCACAAAUCCCUUCCAAUGUGGAAUUCCAGCCACAAUGUGUCAAGAACCCACCAACUGCAGGGUGCGAUAAUAUGAGCGUCUGGGGAGCCCAACCCCGAAUCAAGAGGCUCCUUGCUUUGUUCGUUUCCUCAAAUCCACUUUCUGCAAUCCACUUAUCCAAUUCCUGUGAUUCUUUGCAGCCCCUUACAACCCAAAUGAACGGUUUAUUUGAUGCCUCUAACCCCAAUCCAAUCUCUACCAAAUGUUUAGAGCUGAGGUUACACAUACUUCCAAGGCAAGCAUAAAGUACAGAAGCUGGUGCCCAUGAAUCAAGCCACUUGAAGCAGUGAAGUUCAUCAAUGGAGAUUUUGUUGCCCCUUUGUGCCUUGUCCAAGUCGUC